GACGAACGCUGGCGGCGUGCUUAACACAUGCAAGUCGAACGGAAAGGCCUCUUUCGGGGGGUACUCGAGUGGCGAACGGGUGAGUAACACGUGAGUAACCUGCCCUUGACUUUUUGAUAACUUCAGAAAACUGGGGCUAAUACCGGAUAGGAGCUCCUGCUGCAUUGUGUGGGUUGGAAAGUUUCGGCGGUUGGGGAUGGACUCGCGGCUUAUCAGCUUGUUUGUGGGGUAGUGGCUUACCAAGGCUUUGACGGGUCGCCGGCCUGAGCGGGUGACCGGCCACAUUGGGACUGAGAUAAGGCCCAGACUCCUACGGGAGGCAGCAGUGGGGAAUAUUGCACAAGGGGUGGAAGCCUGAUGCAGCAACGCCGUGUGCGGGAUGACGGCCUUCGGGUUGUAAACCGCUUUCGCUCAUGACGAAGCGUUGUGGGACGGUAGGGGGUAAAGAGGCACGGGCUAACUACGU
rnacentral:rRNA from 1 species